rnacentral:rRNA from 1 species
GAUGAACGCUGGCGGCGUGCCUAAUACAUGCAAGUCGAGCGAACGGACGAGAAGCUUGCUUCUCUGAUGUUAACGGCGGACGGGUGAGUAACACGUGGAUAACCUACCUAUAAGACUGGGAUAACUUCGGGAAACCGGAGCUAAUACCGGAUAAUAUUUUGAACCGCAUGGUUCAAAAGAAAAAGACGCUCUUGCUAUCACCUAUAGAUGGAUCAGCGCUGCAUUAGCUAGUUGGUAAGGUAACGGCUUACCAAGGCAACGAUGCAUAGCCGACCUGAGAGGGUGAUCGGCCACGCUGGAGCUGAGACCCGAUCCAGACACCUACGGGAGGCAGCAGUAGGGAAUGUGCCGCAGUGGGCGAGAGCCUUACGGAGCAACGCAGCGUGAGUGAUGAAGGUCUUCGGAUCGUAAAACUCUUUUAUUAGGGGAAAACCGCUGUGUAAGUAACUGUGCACAUCUUGACGGUCCCUAAGCAGAAGGCCACGGCUAACUACGU